ACUUUACGGCGAGAUUAAGCUCAGGGUCAAGUUCUGAGCAAAAAGUGUCAAGGAGCCUUUUUGCAACCUCCUAUAAUAUUGAAACAGAUUCUGUGCCCUUUAAAGGAGAUAAUAACUAACAUCUGGGGAGCGCUUUACAAUUUAGAAAAGGCCUUUCACACACAGGCCUGUUUCAUCUUCACAACAAUCUUAUAAAACAGAUAUAUUGUUCCCAUUUCCCAAAUAAUGAAACGGAAGCGCCGAAAAUAUCUCCUAUAGGGCUCUUCAAACUGUGGUCAACUUAGUAAAUGAUGUUGACAGUGGAAGUGUGAUCAUUUUAUUUUCCUGCCUUUGGAAUUGAAGAUUGUAAUUUUGCAAAAAUUUUGUUGAAGAUGAUGUAGCUUUGGUUCAGAGAGUUCCAAGUCUCUUCUUCGGCCUCUCAAACAUGGUACCAUCCCUAAUGAAGUCAACGGGUCCAGCAUGACAGGAUGGAAGUACAAGUGUCAGCACCUAUGUAAAGUGAACAGAGUUAUCUGUGACAUUCCAUCAGGCACCUAUGUAACGAAAUCAUACCGUAAUAACUCACCAUGGCGUAUGGAGUGCCAAGAAAGAACACAGUGAAAACCAUUUUGCGGGGCAGUUGUUAUAAUGUGGUCUCACACUGUCACGCAGGCUGGAAUGUUGUGCACCUCCUGGGCUUGAGUGAUCCUCCCAUCUCAGCCUCCUGAGUAGCUGGGACCACAGGCACACACCACUGUGCCCGACAGGAACCUUGGGAUAUUGCAUUGCUUGCAAAGACCUGGUCCACAAACCUAGCCAAUAUCAAGUUGCCUUUCUUGGAAGAAAUUUCAUUUGGUGGUUCUGUGCAGCUCACAAAAUGUACCACCAUUAAAGAUGGACUGCUCCCUUCUGCAGAAUCUAUCAAACUCGAAAGGGAGUAUGAAGUGAAGCGUCUUUGUAAACUGAAGUGUCAAGAAAAUACAUCUAAGGAAAUUCAGCUUCUCCUGAGGGAAAGGCCAGCCGGUUUGAGAAGACCUCUUCCAUCUAAAUGACAGUCAGUUCAUGAUUGAAUCUGUACUCUGUGUCUUGCAUCCAAAGGGCAUGAAGGUCUCUGGACCUUUCACUAUGUAUAGUUCAGGGCAGAUAUUUGAAUGCCCACUGGUGGAUGGGCCACUGCCCACAGCUGUGGGUUAGUACCCAGUUCUGACAGAUCUUCUGAGUCCCUGACAUACUCUUGUUCCUUGUGUCACAAACGACAGCACUGUAAGUAGAUGAAAAUGCAUUUGGAGUUGAGUCGUUUGUGCUAUUCAUUUUAAUUUUUGUAAAAUUGCACUAAAAGAAGAGGAAAUUUCUUCAGCUGCAUUGUUUUCAAAAGACAUCUUAAAUAUGCAUCUUUGAGAUCCCAAGGAGGGACCAAAAGAAGGCAAGAGAGAAAUUCUCUUAAAAAUGAUAAACUGAAACAUUUCAUUUGGUUAAGAAAAAUAAUAGACUUCAUUUUUAGUA